rnacentral:rRNA from 1 species
GAUGAACGCUGGCGGCGUGCCUAAUACAUGCAAGUCGAGCGAACAGACCAGGAGCUUGCUCCUUCGACGUUAGCGGCGGACGGGUGAGUAACACGUAGGUAACCUACCUAUAAGACUGGGAUAACUUCGGGAAACCGGAGCUAAUACCGGAUAAUAUUUCGAACCGCAUGGUUCGAUAGUGAAAGAUGGCUUUGCUAUCACUUAUAGAUGGACCUGCGCCGUAUUAGCUAGUUGGUAAGGUAACGGCUUACCAAGGCAACGAUACGUAGCCGACCUGAGAGGGUGAUCGGCCACACUGGAACUGAGACACGGUCCAGACUCCUACGGGAGGCAGCAGUAGGGAAUCUUCCGCAAUGGGCGAAAGCCUGACGGAGCAACGCCGCGUGAGUGAUGAAGGUCUUCGGAUCGUAAAACUCUGUUAUUAGGGAAGAACAAACGUGUAAGUAACUGUGCACGUCUUGACGGUACCUAAUCAGAAAGCCACGGCUAACUACGUG